rnacentral:lncRNA from 1 species
CUUCCUUGUAUUGAUUCUAAGAUGGAAGGUAGGGAUUUAAAAAAAAAAAAGAUAAAUCUCUAGGGUAGGGGAAGAGGGGCUGGGAUUUGGGACCAUUUAAGGCUGACUUUUGUAGCUAGGUGACUCAAUGGAUAGAAUGCCAGGCCUAGAGCCAAGAAGACUUAUCUUUCUAAGUUCAAAUCUGGUCUCAGAUGCUUAAUAGCUAUAUGACUGGACCAGUCACUUAACCCUCUUUGCCUCCAUUCCUCAACUGUCAAAUGAUCUAGAGAAGGAAAUAGCAAACCAUUCUAGUAUCUUUGCUAAGAAAACCUCAAAUGGAAUUGAUGAGUGGAACAUGACUGAGCAACAAGGCUGUCUUUGGAAGCUCCUGCAGAAUGCACAAUUCACUAAAGGGAAGAGAACCAGGCUGGGAAACUAGAGACCUCCCACUGUUCUGCCUCAAGAUCAUUCAAAAAUUGUGGCUUUGGACCAGAUCUGUGAUUUCACUGGGAUAGGGAAUUUCAGGUGAAGAAAGUCUUCCCACCAAUGCAAGAAGGCAUAAAUUAUCAAGUACGUAUAUAUACAUAUUUCUGUGGAUAUGGGGCACCAUAGUGCAGUGAGCCCCAGGCCUAGAUUCAGGAAGACUCGUCUUUGUGAGAUCAAAUCUUCCUCAGAUACUUCUUAGCUGUAUUACCCUGGACAAGUCAUUUCACCCUAUUUGCCUCACUUUCCUCAUCUAUAAAAUGAGUUGGAGAAGGAAAUGGUAAACAUGCAAAAAAUCAGAUACAGCAGAAAUGACUGAACAACAACAAAUCUACACACACACACACACAUACGCGCACAUGAAUAUGCAUACUUAGUAUCUAUAUGUGUAUGUAUGUGUAAUAGUGCACCCCUAUAUAUUAAUAUAUAAACAAUGUAUAUGCCAUAUAGAUAUUUAUGUGUGGUAUACACAUGCCAUUUUUUCAUUUUACAAUAUUCAACUUUUAUAUAAAUAUUCCUCAUAUUACUUAUAAUUAAAUAACCUAUGAUUACUAUAUCGAUCCCAAGUGGUGGCAAGAGUGAUUGAUUACAGGAUAAACUUAUUUUCAUGAUCUUGUAGACUCUUUCUCCAAAAUGGAAGCUUCUUGAGGGUAGAGAAUUUCUUUUUUUGUCCUGGUUUCCCUAGAGCAAAGGUUCAGUGUCUUGCACACAGUAUGGGCAGCUAGGUAGUACAGUAGAUAGUAGAUAGUGAGAUCUGGAUGUGGAGGCAGGAAGACACAGAUUCAAAUCCAGCUUCAGAUACUUAGCAGCUAUGUGAUCUUAGGCAAAUCACUUAACCUCAGUUUCCUCAAACUUACAAAAUGAGGAUAAUAAGAUUGUUGCAAGGAUGAAACAAGUUAUAUUUGUAAAGUGCUUGGCACAUAGUAGGUGCUAUGUAAAUGUUAACUAUUAGUAGUAGUUAGUAAUAGACACAAUAAAAGAUCACUGCGUUAAGAUCCCUUUUCA